GGGCAUAUGGUAUAGGGGUUAUCACGCAGCCUUCGCGGUGUUGUGCUUGCGAAAGCUCUCCGUUCAAAUCCGGAUUUGUCCA